GACAUUACGCCGGGCAUGAACGGACAGCUUUGAUGUAGCUGAUAACGAAGUACUUCUUCUAAUGUCU
rnacentral:tRNA from 1 species